rnacentral:misc_RNA from 1 species
ACAUUAGAUUCAUCCUUUUGAUCUUUUUAUUGAAACAGUACACAUUAUAUCCAUCAAUUACAAUGGUCAAAACACCCACUUCUUCAGGGAGAAGUAGAGUGGCCUAAUCUUUAAAGGCUCAGCAAAAGUAAAGAGAUGCUAUCAUGCUAGCUAUUGGUAUCUCUUAAAGUGUCCUCUACACCAAACAGUUAGUACACAAAUUGUUAAAUUCUAAUCUGAAACAGCCAGGGCCAAGACUCUGUGAAGAAAAAGAUCACAUUGGAUUGCCAACAUCUAAUACCAGCUUCUAACAUGCUUUUAUUUUUUUGUUCUCAAAGAAAUACCAGGUAUCAAUAAAAAGUAAGCCAAAACCAAAAAGAAAAGAAAUUGGGAUCAGCACAAAAACUUCUCAAAGGUCAUGAGAAGUUAACAAAUGAAACAACAAUUUAAACUGGACAAAAUUUUGGAAGAUAAUACAAUAUCCUGCAGAACUUGUAUAGGGAAAUAAACAAUUCCCAAACUUCAACUCGUAAUAAAAAGAUCAAAUCCAAAUACAAGCAUUAUGUAAGUAAAGACAAAAA